GUGGGGAAUCUUCCGCAAUGGACGAAAGUCUGACGGAGCGACGCCGCGUGAGUGAUGAAGGCCUUCGGGUCGUAAAGCUCUGUCAUCGGGGACGAACGGCCUCAGCAGGUAAUGGCUGGGGAUUGACGGUACCCGAGAAGGAAGCCACGGCUAACUACGUGCCAGCAGCCGCGGUAAUACGUAGGUGGCAAGCGUUGUCCGGAAUUAUUGGGCGUAAAGCGCGCGCAGGUGGGAUCUUAAGUCCAUUUUUAAAGUUCGGAGCUCAACUCCGUGAUGGGAUGGAAACUGGGAUUCUUGAGUACCGGAGAGGAAAGCGGAAUUCCCCGUGUAGCGGUGAAAUGCGUAGAUAUGGGGAGGAACACCAGUGGCGAAGGCGGCUUUCUGGACGGUGUCUGACACUGAGGCGCGAAAGCCAGGGGAGCGAACGGGAUUAGAAACCCGGGUAGUCC
rnacentral:rRNA from 1 species